rnacentral:tRNA from 1 species
GGUGGGUUGGCAGAGUGGUUGAACGCGGCAGUCUUGAAAACUGUUAAGGGUUUGUAGCCCUUCGGGGGUUCGAAUCCCUCACCCAUCGCCA